UGUGUUUCAGAUGACGUCCCAAUAUGGUAUGACCCAACAAGAGUAGAGUGUGUGUGUGUUACACGGUCCUCAUAUUGUUGGGUAGCAGUUAUUUUAGUUUGAACCAUUUCUAUAGAGUUAGAUAAAAAGCCCAGAUCCACGUGGGAAUUAUUUUAACUAACAUCUGUGGUCCCUACAUGCAAAGUCAAUGCAGCCCUUGACCUCAGCAAUGAGUCUCAUUCCAAAGGCGAUUAUGAUAGACAGGUGGUAGGAAUAUAUUGUAAAUUAAAUGAGUAUGAUCAUUAGUUUACAAACUAGAUUUGAUCUAUAUUGUAAUCCAGAAUAUUUCUGACAGGUUAUUGUUGUAUUUCGUUUCAGACACCAAGUGGCAUGAUCCCAGCUCAUACUUCAGUGGACCCAGAAGUGAGCCAGAGAUCCACUUCAUCCAUCCAACAGACACCAAGUGGCAUGAUCCCAGCUCAUACUUCAGUGGACCCAGAAGUGAGCCAGAGAUCCACUUCAUCCAUCCAACAGGCGAGCAAGUCCUCUGGAACUGUCCCCUUCCACCAGUGUCCUACUGCAGAGCAGCUUAGAAAAAUCUGCCGUCUAAAAAAUCUGAAGCGCCAUCAUGGUCGUUGUGAAGAUCGUUACCAGGAGGCUCAAAAAGAGAUAGCCAAGAGAUCUUUGAUUCAGGUCACCAGAAUUAAUUAUUCGACCUCCACUGACUUAUUUGAGGAAUCUUCGGAUGCUACGGACUUUGAUGAUGCUGACUAUGUUCCAGCCUCAUGUGGCAAUUCCUCGGAUGCUUCAAUUAUAAGUACUGCUAGUCAAGAACUCAAAACCAUGAAGGGGGAUGGUGCCACCAGUUCAGAGAUACCUAGAACAUUGAGUUCUUCAAAGAUGAGCAGCAAUCAUUGUGCUUCAGUGAUAAGCUGCAGUGCCAAUUCAUUAAAGAACACAUCACAGCAGAAAAGCUCCAUAAAUGUCACACCAUUGCCAAUAAAAGCAAAAGGAAGCAAGUACAACAAGAAGCAAUUUUGUCUUUAUUGUAAAAAGGCCAUUUCUAAAUUGGCAAGACAUCUUGAAUCCGUGCACAGUGAAGAGCCUGAUGUUGCAAUGGCUUUCAGUUUUGAUAAAAGAUCCCGCAAAAGAAGCGAGUUGUUACGCUCUAUUAAGAAGAGAGGAAACUUUGACCAUAAUGCUGAAGUGGCAAGCUGUGGCACUGGAGAGAUGGUUGCUUGUAGAAGACCCAGUACUGCAAAACAAUCUGAUGACUUCCGUCACUGCAAAUUUUGCGAAGGACUGUAUGCAAGAAACUCUUUAUGGAGACAUGUGAGAAACUGCCCGAAAAAGACUGUUGAGGAAGAGCCUCAAGUUGGCCGAAAAAUGAUUCAAAUGCACUUACCAAGACCUGACUCAGUUAAGGAAACUGUUUGGAAGAUUGCUUGUGAAAUGAACCAGGAUGACGUUUCUUCGGUUGUAAGGAGUGAAACUGUGAUCCUUUGUAUCGGCGAGUCACUGUUCAAUUCCAGGAAACCGUAUGAAAGAAGGAAUGACUACAUACGCCAAAAAAUGAGAGAGAUGGCAAGACUAUUGAUAACGGCAAGAGCUAUAACACCUUUGAAGAGCACCGAAGACCUUGUUAUGCCUUGUAACUUUCCGCAUGUGAUACAGGCAGUUAGAUCUGUUGCUGGUUAUGAUGUCGAAAGCAACUCGUAUAAAAUCCCAUCAUUGGCUUUGAAAUUGGGACACAGUUUAGCCAAAGUUGCAGGCAUUGUGCAAUGCAAUGCCAUCAUUGCAAAUCGCCCUGCCGUUGCGGAGUCUGCAAAGCAAUUUGCCACUCUACAUCAGAAAAACUGGACAGAGUCCAUUUCUGCUGCCGCAUUGGGAACACUUCAACAAGCCAAAUGGAAUAAACCACAGGUUUUACCCUUUACAGAGGAUGUGUCGGUGCUGCACAAGUUUCUUGCUGCUGAGCGUGUUAAGCGCAUGAAGGACCUUGAGGAAGAACCCAACAGCAAAAGCUUUGGAAAUCUUGCUAAAGUGACUUUGACGCAGGUAGUACUAUUUAACAGAAGGCGGGAAGGUGAAGUUUAAAAAAUGGAGCUUCAGACUUUCACAUCCAGGGAUCGUACAGAGCUGAAUCCAGACAUUGUGAGGGGCCUUACCGACUUCGAGAGGAAGCUUGCAGAGCACUUUGAGAGAGUUGAGAUUCGUGGUAAAAGGUCAAGAAAGGUUCCAGUGCUUCUAACCCCCGACAUGAUCGCUGCUAUGGACCUCCUAAUGAAAAGCAGGAAAGAGUGUCAAGUCCACAAAGAAAAUGUGUACAUGUUUGCACGGCCAGGUGUCCUUUCCCAUUACAGAGGCUCUGACUGCUUUCGUAAGUAUGCAAAGCAAUGUGGUGCAAAGAACCCAGAGGCUCUCACCUCAACAAGAUUGCGGAAACAAGUGGCCACUUUGUCCACACUACUAAAUCUGAAAGAAAAUGAAAUGGAUCAACUUGCCACCUUUCUAGGACACGAAAUCCGUGUCCAUAGAGAAUUCUAUCGGCUUCCAGAGAGUACCCUUCAGCUCGCAAAAGUCAGCAAACUCCUGAUAUCACUCGAAAAAGGAAGACUGCCUUACCUGCAGGGGAAAGGGCUGGAUGACAUUGAGGUCAAUCCUGAAGAUGAAGUAGAAAUGAGUGAUGAUUCCAGCGAAGAAAACAUUGCUGACCUACAUCAAUGCAAAGGCUCAAUAACUGAGACUGCUAGGGACCAGACACUUCUGAGGCACACUCCUGAGUCAACCAGCCUGGACAACAUUGAGGGCACUUCCGAGUCAACCAGCCUGCACAACAUGGAGGGCACUUCCGAGUCAACCAGCCUGGACAACAUGGAGGGCACUUCCGAGUCAACCAGCCUGGACAACAUGGAGGGCACUUCCGAGUCAACCACCCUGGACAACAUGGAGGGCACUUCCGAGUCAACCACCCUGGACAAUAUUGAGGGCACUUCCGAGUCAACCAGCCUGGACAACAUGGAGGGCACUCCUGAAUCAACCACCCUGGACAACAUGGAGGGCACUCCUGAAUCAACCACCUUGGAUGACGUAAACAUGAGUCACAAAAUAGUCACAUUCCAAGCUUCUUCAAAGGGCUCCAAAAGAAAGCAAGCUGUGAAGGUGAGAAGCAAGUGGACAGGUGAGGAAGUGAAGGCUGUUGAGCGGCAUUUGCUUAACUUCAUUACAAGCUGCAGAAUACCUGGCAAAAAGGACUGUGACUCCUGCCUCCAGGCAGAGCCAGUAGCUCUGAAAGACCGAGACUGGGUUGCCAUCAAGUACUACGUACACAACAGAAACGUAGCAUUAAAAAGGAAGAUGACUAGGUAGAUCCAUUCCAAUUGAUCUUGUUUUUUGCUUGUAUUUUUUUUGCUGGCACUCAAUAAA